GACGUAGGUCGCAAGCGUUGUCCGGAAUUAUUGGGCGUAAAGAGCUCGUAGGCGGUCUGUCGCGUCGGCUGUGAAAACCCGGGGCUCAACCCCGGGCCUGCAGUCGAUACGGGCAGACUAGAGUGUGGUAGGGGAGACUGGAAUUCCUGGUGUAGCGGUGGAAUGCGCAGAUAUCAGGAGGAACACCGGUGGCGAAGGCGGGUCUCUGGGCCAUAACUGACGCUGAGGAGCGAAAGCGUGGGGAGCGAACAGG
rnacentral:rRNA from 1 species